rnacentral:rRNA from 1 species
UACGUAGGGGGCAAGCGUUGUCCGGAAUCAUUGGGCGUAAAGCGCGUGUAGGCGGUCCGGUAAGUCCGCUGUGAAAGUCGGGGGCUUAACCCUCGGAUGCCGGUGGAUACUGUCGGGCUUGAGUACGGAAGAGGCGAGUGGAAUCCUGGUGUAGCGGUGAAAUGCGCGAUAUAGGAGGAACACCAAUUGCGAAGGCAGCUCGCUGGGACGUUACUGACGCUGAGACGCGAAAGCGUGGGGAGCAAACAGG